GCCUCGGUGAUGCAGUGGUAGAUGCGUACCCGAUAUGAAUGAAACGCGAGUUCGAUUCUCGUCUGAGGUC